GGUUAAGCGACUAAGCGUACACGGUGGAUGCCCUGGCAGUCAGAGGCGAUGAAGGGCGUGCUAAUCUGCGAUAAGCGCCGGUAAGGUGAUAUGAACCGUUAUAACCGGCGAUACCCGAAUGGGGAAACCCAGUGUGAUUCGUCACACUAUCAUUAACUGAAUCCAUAGGUUAAUGAGGCGAACCGGGGGAACUGAAACAUCUAAGUACCCCGAGGAAAAGAAAUCAACCGAGAUUCCCCCAGUAGCGGCGAGCGAACGGGGAGGAGCCCAGAGCCUGAAUCAGCAUGUGUGUUAGUGGAAGCGUCUGGAAAGGCGCGCGAUACAGGGUGACAGCCCCGUACACAAAAGCGCAUGUGCUGUGAGCUCGAUGAGUAGGGCGGGACACGUGGUAUCCUGUCUGAAUAUGGGGGGACCAUCCUCCAAGGCUAAAUACUCCUGACUGACCGAUAGUGAACCAGUACCGUGAGGGAAAGGCGAAAAGAACCCCGGCGAGGGGAGUGAAAAAGAACCUGAAACCGUGUACGUACAAGCAGUGGGAGCACAGGUUUACCUGUGUGACUGCGUACCUUUUGUAUAAUGGGUCAGCGACUUAUAUUCUGUAGCAAGGUUAACCGAAUAGGGGAGCCGGAGGGAAACCGAGUCUUAACCGGGCGUUAAGUUGCAGGGUAUAGACCCGAAACCCGGUGAUCUAGCCAUGGGCAGGUUGAAGGUUGGGUAACACUAACUGGAGGACCGAACCGACUAAUGUUGAAAAAUUAGCGGAUGACCUGUGGCUGGGGGUGAAAGGCCAAUCAAACCGGGAGAUAGCUGGUUCUCCCCGAAAGCUAUUUAGGUAGCGCCUCGUGAAUUCAUCUCCGGGGGUAGAGCACUGUUUCGGCUAGGGGGCCAUCCCGGCUUACCAACCCGAUGCAAACUGCGAAUACCGGAGAAUGUUAUCACGGGAGACACACGGCGGGUGCUAACGUCCGUCGUGAAGAGGGAAACAACCCAGACCGCCAGCUAAGGUCCCAAAGUCAUGGUUAAGUGGGAAACGAUGUGGGAAGGCCCAGACAGCCAGGAUGUUGGCUUAGAAGCAGCCAUCAUUUAAAGAAAGCGUAAUAGCUCACUGGUCGAGUCGGCCUGCGCGGAAGAUGUAACGGGGCUAAACCAUGCACCGAAGCUGCGGCAGCGACACUGUGUGUUGUUGGGUAGGGGAGCGUUCUGUAAGCCUGUGAAGGUGUGUCGUGAGGCAUGCUGGAGGUAUCAGAAGUGCGAAUGCUGACAUAAGUAACGAUAAAGCGGGUGAAAAGCCCGCUCGCCGGAAGACCAAGGGUUCCUGUCCAACGUUAAUCGGGGCAGGGUGAGUCGACCCCUAAGGCGAGGCCGAAAGGCGUAGUCGAUGGGAAACGGGUUAAUAUUCCCGUACUUGGUGUUACUGCGAAGGGGGGACGGAGAAGGCUAUGUUGGCCGGGCGACGGUUGUCCCGGUUUAAGCGUGUAGGUGUGUGUUCCAGGUAAAUCCGGUUCACUUUAACACUGAGGCGUGACGACGAGGCACUACGGUGCUGAAGCAACAAAUGCCCUGCUUCCAGGAAAA
rnacentral:rRNA from 1 species